ensembl:lncRNA
ACAUCCACUUCAACUGAUGCCAUCACUACUUCAACUACAUCCACAGUCACUUCAAGUGAUGCCACCACUACUUCACCUACAUCCACAGUCACUUCAAGUGAUGCCACCACUACUUCAACUACGUCUACAGUCACUUCAAGUGAUGCCACCACUCCCUCAACUACAUCCACAGUCACUUCAAGCGAUGCCACCACUACUUCAACUACGUCUACAGUCACUUCAAGUGAUGCCACAACUCCCACUGCUACAUCGACAGUCACAAGUGAUGUCACUACUCUAAGACCAAUAAUGCCAUUAACAAGUGGUACUACUACAGUAAUAACAAGAACCUCAACAUUUGUAGCAGUAUCCACUCCCUCAACUCCCUCACAGGGACUAACUUUCAGAGACACUACUUUGGUGACAACAAUCAAAACCACUGUUGCAGAAUGCGUGUCAGAAACUCUGGUGAAUGUCAUCAGGCUGGAGAAAAUCACCAGUAAGUUAAUCAGUGUAAGUUGGACAGGUAUUAACCUGGACCAGCAGAUACAGUACAAAGUGAAGCUGGAGUCUGGUUCCAACUCAAGCCAGAGUGAGACCUCAGCCACCAAAGCUGUUUUCUCAGACCUUACUCCUGGAACCAUGUACACUCUGAUUAUUGAGUACUUAUCCUGUAGUAUCAAGAAAUACAUUUCAGCAAACAUAAUCACUGCUGGAAAGGUCUAUGAAUCUUUCACUCGAAUUCCAGGCAGAGAUUUUGUGUCUGAUUAUACAAAUCAAUCCAGCAAACUUUACAAAGACUUUGUAACAAAUUUCACCAUGCAGGUUGAAAACAAUCUCCCAAAGGAAUACCGGGACCUUAUCAGGGAUAAAGAAAUGGUGAUUGUUGUGACUGGUGUUCGCAGAGGAAGUGUGAUCGUUGACUUUGAUCUGGUCACUGCUCUGGAGGUCAACCUGUCAACCUCUGACGUGCAGAACAGCGUCAUCAAUGCGCUGAAAUCAUCUGCACUCGGAGUGGAUCUGAAUAUCACCUCUGUAAAAGAGGCAGAUAUCUGUCAAAGAGGCAGUUACACAUGCUCAAAAAAUGCCAGCUGUGUCAGAGCGGGACCUUCACAUACAUGUGAAUGCAAGGCAAAAUUCUAUGACAAAAAUCCAACCGUACCGGGUACUGACUGCAAGAGAAAUAUCACUCCAGGUGCAGAUCCAUGCAAAGGUUUGUGUUCAUCACUUCCAGGACCAACCACACACGCUCAGUGUGUGGUUGGUCCUGGAGGCAGCCAGCAGUGUAGCUGCUAUCCUGGUUUGAUAGAUCAGAAUCCUGUUAAUCCUGGGAAGCUGUGCAUAGGAGUUUCCCAGAUAUCAACGGCCCCGGGAGAAGGCUGGAAAGUGGCGACCAUAGUCCUGGGAGUUCUGCUGGGCUUGAUUUUGUUAGUCGGGGUUGUCGUUCUGGUCAGCACCGCAGUGAGGAAAGCAACUAGCAAGCUGACCUCGUACAACCUCCAGCACACAGAGCACAACAGACAGGCGGUGUCCAAUGACUAUUUACAAGGAUGUUAUUCUUACCAGAUCAAAAAUAUCAAGAUAUUGAAUAUUAAUAACAUUUGAAUUAUAUAUUUUGAUAGACAAAAGUAUCAGGUAUCACACCAUGUAAAGGAACAACGUCCUAAUUCUUUAAUUGUUUUAUAAAAUGCAACUGGAUUGAUGUCAACUCCGUCAGACAAAUAUUUAUUAUCCAACAAGUGUUAAAUAAAGGCCUUGAUUGUUUAAUUCUAACAUUACAUUAUUCAAAUAUGAUAUGAUAAUGCUCCAAGGCUAAUUUUGUUAGCAUUUUGACAUGUUUCUCUAGAUUCAGAACAUAAAACAACAUUUAGAAAGCAAACAAUAACCCUUAGGUCUAACACAGCAAAUAAGUCAGUAGUUUAAGCAUAUGUUGCAACAAUGUUAAAAUAUUUUUUUCUGAAUAUUGACAAAAAAGAUCGAUAUUAAGAGGGUUAGCCAUCAGUGAGUUGACAAGCCAUUGACGAGGCUGACAACAAAUACUCAAAACAGCCUCUAAAAAUAAACGUUUAAUACAAACAUUUGUAAAAAUAUAACCAUUCUAUCAGAUCUUUCAGCACUCUGACGGAGUUGACUUUAGACAAAAAUCUGACGGAGUUGAUGUUUUACGGAGUUGACAAAAAUCAAAUAUUUCUUCUUCAAUCAAGUAAUAUGCUAAGUUUAUCCUCAGUUUCUUUAUGACUCUAAAACCUAAUCAUAUAAUGUCCUAUCUUAAUCUAUUCGGCAGAUGGGAGUUGACAGUUUAUGAAACUGACAAUGGUGAUUUUAAUAUUGUUUGUUUAAAUCUAUCAAAAGGAGAGAACUUUACAGACCAUGAGUUGUCUUGUUGCACUACAGGUAAUGAGGACAUGAAGAAGGUGUCCUGAUGGUGAAGCUGUCCCUGCUCAUUCAUGAUUCAUUUAGGAUUUUAGACAAAUCUGCCAAUGUUGACUAAAUCUCCUAGUUUUGAGAGAAAUAUUCUUUAAAGUCAGAGGGCUAUUGGAAGAAACUACAUACAAUAUUUUUUCAGUUAGUAUUCAUUAUUGCUUGUUUGGAGAGUUUGAAAUUGGGAUCCUUUGUAAGGGCAUGUCACGUUCUGACCUUAGUUUCUUUUUAUGUCUUUGUGUUAGGUUGGUCAGGGCGUGAGUUGGGGUGGGUAGUCUAUGUUCUUUUUUCUAUGUUAUAUUUCUAUGUCUUGGCCUGGUAUGGUUCUCAAUCAAGGACAGCUGUCUAUCGUUGUCUCUGAUUGAGAACUAUACUUAGGUACCCUUUUCCCCCACCUGUUUUUUGGGAAGUGUACUUUGUCUUUGUUCAGGGCACAUAGCCCAAAGCUUCACGGUUUGGUUUUUGUUCUUUGUUUUGUCUGUGUAAUUUUUGAAUAAAGAGAAAAUGUACGCUUA